rnacentral:rRNA from 1 species
UACGUAGGGUGCGAGCGUUGUCCGGAAUUACUGGGCGUAAAGAGCUCGUAGGUGGUUUGUCGCGUUGUCCGUGAAAUUCCCUGGCUUAACUGGGGGCGUGCGGGCGAUACGGGCAGACUGGAGUACUGCAGGGGGAGACUGGAAUUCCUGGUGUAGCGGUGGAAUGCGCAGAUAUCAGGAGGAACACCGGUGGCGAAGGC